CCUGAUUUUUUUUUUUGGACUCUUUCGCCAACUUCUGUGGCCAGCCGGCAUCCAUGGAGCCGCCGCUACCAGCAGGCCACGGCGCCCUGUUUGAGCUGACAGCUGACUAGCUGAGUGUGCUGCGAUUGCCGUGUCGGGGAGCUGAGAGACGCCAAACGGAAUGGCGAAAGCGACCGGCCGCGCGGCGGGCAGCAGGAGCUGCAUCGAGAGGCUGCCUGCGCCCCGCGCCCAAUCCACUUCGGAUCUAAUCCCCUCCGCCUCGUUCCCCUUCAACCCCCACGUCUCUCUCGCCGACGGCUCCGGCCUCGGGAUCUCGUGCUGGUGAUUGAUCGACACAAUGGCGCCGCUCCACGCCGCGCUGCGGCCGCCCUCCUCCGCUGCCGCCGCCGCUGCUCACCACCACGCGGCAGCCCCGCCUGUCUUCCUCGCUCGCUCGCCGUACCACCCCCGCAGGGCGGCGGCCUCCUGCUCGCUCGCCACCGCCGCCGCGCCCUCGUCGAGAAAAGCGUUCCUGUCAUGCCCGCCGGACCACUGGAUGACGGCCGCGCCGCCGCGCGCCAUCCCCUCCUCCUCGUCGUCGUCCCCGGCGCUCGUCGCGUCCGUGCAGGACCUGUACGACUUCAUCUACAGCGGCCCGCUGGUGGACAGGAUCGGCUACACCGAUGAGAAGAUCGCCGAGUCCAUCGACCGCUGGCUUCUUGCCGGGGCUCGGUUGGCGCGCCUUUUCCGCCUCAACGAGCUCCAGCUGUCGGAGGCCGAGAAGGCCCGGAUAUACCACUUCUACAUCCCCGUCUUUCUCUGGUGCGAGGACCAGGUCAUGGAGCACAGAGCCAAGUACAACGACGGUGAUGACAUCCCACCAUUGGUGAUUGGGGUCAGUGCUCCUCAAGGAAGUGGAAAGACGACUCUUGUCUUCGCACUUGAUUAUCUUUUUCGGGUUGCUGGUAGGAAUUCUGUCACAUUGUCUAUAGAUGACUUCUAUUUGACAGCAAAAGAACAGAAUGAACUGAGGGACAGAAAUCCUGGAAAUGCUCUUUUAGAGCUCCGUGGAAACGCUGGAAGCCACGAUCUCCAAUUCUCAGUUGAAACACUUGAGUCACUGAUCAAACUAACAAAGGAAGGUAUGAAGAUGAAGGUUCCACGGUAUGACAAGUCUGCUUUUGGGGGAAGGGGUGACCGGGCUGAUCCUUCUGUAUGGACAGAGGUUGAAGGGCCCUUAGAGGUUGUUCUGUUUGAAGGAUGGAUGCUUGGAUUUAAACCUCUUCCAAAUGAAGAAGUGAAAAAAGUGGAUCCACAGCUUGAGGUGGUUAACAAGAACCUUGAAGCAUACUAUGGUGCUUGGGACAGGUUCAUCCAAUCAUGGAUUGUUAUUAAAAUAAGAGAACCCAAUUGUGUAUACCAGUGGAGGCUGCAGGCAGAGGUAGCUAUGAGAGCAGAUGGAAAACCUGGAAUGUCCGAUGAGGAGGUGUGUUCUCUGACAAAGCUAUUCACUCCCUAGAAUGACGUAACCCCUCUGUCAUCCUAGUAACAUUAUUUGUUGGAGCUUUGCUGAUGGUUGUGUGAUGUGGUUUCUUCGGUUAUGGAUUUUGUAUCACGCUACCUACCAGCAUACCAAGCAUAUUUGCCCACUUUAUACAAAGAUGGACCAAAUGGUUCGAAUCCAGACCAUCUGCUGGUCAUCGACAUAGAUGAAAAUAGGAAUCCUAUUUGUGGUGGAGACUGGGAUGUGGCAUGUUUGUGAAACUACUUUUAUGCCCGUCAAACACCACUGGCCUCUUGUUUCCCACACUCUAGUUUAAAUCUGUGAAUUUCAUGUAAAUUGCUGUCUAUUAAAGGGAAUCAGCAUUCUGCUUUUGCUCCCCUGUUACCCAAUUGUAAAUAUACGGCCUAUGCUCGCCUGCAUUUUAAGUCACUGACUCAAUUCAGCAUGUAAAUAAAUUUCGCUCCUGUCUGGUGAGGUACUCCCUCCAGUCACAAGGCUUAAGGCACUUUUUAAUC